UGAAGCGGCAAUAGCUCAAAUUUGAAAUCUGGCGUCUUCGACCUCCGAGUUGUUAUUUGAAGAGGAUGCUUCUGAGUGGCCUGCGACCUAAGUUCCUUGGAACAGGACGUCAUAGAGGGUGAUAAUCCCGGAUGCGGGCGAAAAGGCCCUNUAUACGUAUCCCCUUCGACGAGUCGAGUUGUUUGGGAAUGCCUCUCUAAAUGGGAGGAAAUUUUCUUCUAAAGCAAAAUAUUGGCCAGAGACCGAUAGCGCACAAGUAGAGUGAUCAAAAGAUGAAAAGCUUUUUGAAAAGAGAGUUAAAAAGCACGUGAAUUUGUUAAAAGGGAAGGGAGUGCAACCAGACUUGCUCGCGGUGCUCCGCCGGUCUUCUGACCGGUCUACUCGUCGCGUUGCAGGCCAUCAUCUUCUGGGGCCGCUGGAUAAGACUUGANGAAUGUAGCUCCCUCGGGAGUGUUAUAGCCUCUUGUGAUGCAGCGAGCGCCGGGCGAGGUCCGCGCUUCGGCUANGAUGCUGGNGUAAUGGUCGUAAUCCGCCCGUCUUGAAACAC
rnacentral:rRNA from 1 species